rnacentral:rRNA from 1 species
UUAUGCUAGAAUUAGUCGCUGUAUGACGGAGCGAUGCCGAGUGUGGGAUGAAGCGGCUUUGCCGUGUAAACCACUGUCAGGAGAUAGAAACAAUGAUCAUCUUCAGAGGAAGGGGCGACUAACUCUGUGCCAGCAGCCGCGGUAAUACUG